UGGUCAUCGCCAUCCUCAUCACCAAGGGACUACAUCCACAAGGGCGGCUUCAAGGCCUACGUGCCGCUGCUGGAGGACGUCGUCAUCAUCCCCGGCGCCGGCCACUUCAUCUAGCAGGAGAAGGCCGACGAGGUCAGCCACCACAUCUCAUCUCAAAGUUUGUCUGAUGGAUCAGCUGCUCGAUCAGUUGCGCGCUGGAAUCAACCUGUUCACCGGCGAUGCCUAGGCAUCACACGUACUUCAAGCAAAUUGUGGACAUCCUCCUCACCGGCGCUCCUGCCUGCCGAGAAGGGUCUGGUCGUCGCCAUCCUCACCACCAAGAAGGGUCCUGUGGUCGUUGCCAUCCUCGCCACCGGCUCCAUCCUAGACGCGCGAGGCUUCGCUGGUCGGUUCCACCGGCGGUCCAAGGUUACCUGAGCCUUGCUAGCAAGGAGUUUCACUGCCCGCCAUCACCGUCCGGCAAACCUGCUCGCCGAGAAGGGAGCCCUAGAGUUGAAGCAACCUUGCUAGCAAGGAGUUUUAUCGCUCACCGUCGCCAUCUGGCAGGCCUGUUUGCCGAGAUGGGAGCCCUAGAGUUGAAGCAAUGGAUGGCCGUCGACCAUUUGGAGAUAUCACAACUACCCUGAAUCAUCGAAGUAUUACAUGAAUUGGAUUUUUCCUUGUGAAAUCCCUGCAUUUUAAAGACACACAAAGCCAUGAUCAUCGGUGAGGCGACGUGGAGUCAUGAUGUUCAUGCUACAUUGCGAAAAUAAGGAAAAAUUAUGUCAGUGAUGGUGUACGAAGCUGGAUUUUAUAUCUAUUAGUGUUCAUUUCUUAUUUAUAAGCUUUAAGACUACAACAAUUUUGUACAAAAGUAGAUUUCGGUCUUUGGAAUUAGAAGUUUGUAUCUAGAUCCCAAUUUCCUUCUCUUUCUAAUAAGAACUCAAGGUUGUUCAUAUACAAAUUUCAUAUACGUUGUUGCAAAGGUUUAUUUUGGAAAUCAAAUUAAA